rnacentral:rRNA from 1 species
UACGGAGGGUGCGAGCGUUGUCCGGAAUCACUGGGCGUAAAGGGCGCGUAGGCGGCGCGGGCAGUUCAACGGUGAAAGCUCGGGGCUCAACCCCGAGUCGGCCGUCGGAUACUCCCGUGCUUGAGCACUGUAGAGGCAGGUGGAAUUCCGGGUGUAGCGGUGGAAUGCGUAGAGAUCCGGAAGAACACCGGUGGCGAAGGCGGCCUGCUGGGCAGUAGCUGACGCUGAGGCCGCGACAGCGUGGGGAGCAAACGAGGAU